rnacentral:sRNA from 1 species
UGUUGAAAAGCAUCUAACUUGACUAGGACGGUCUGAGGCUUUUAAUGAACUUUUUGUUUGCUCUAUCGUUAGUUUUGUGUCCAUGAUUCAGGAUUGUUAAUGUUUUGUGAUGUUUUGGAUGAUGAGAAACAAAAAUCAAAAUACAGUU